rnacentral:lncRNA from 1 species
UCCACAUGCCAAAGAAGCCCAUUAUAAUUUGAAAACCAGAAGUAACAAUAAGAGCUCCCUAUAUGCCUCACAUUGUAUGCAUAAACCUCUGCAAAUAUCAGUCGCAAGAACAAAUUCAAGAAACAUCAAAUGAAUGGACAACCCCUCCCCCCACCCAAAAAAGGAAAACAACUCAAAGUCCCAACAGAGGCAGAUGAACGAAUAUUUUUGACACAGAGCAUUUCAACAAAUAUUCAAUUCUGACCAUAAUUCUAUAGUCUAUGUUGCAGACUUACCAAAAUGCUACCGCACCCUUGUCGGUGUCAGAUCCUCAAAAAAUGCACUACUUUUGUCAAUUCUAAAGCUAAAUGGCAUAUAAACUAGUUUAUAUAUUGAAAUUUCAUAAUUAUAAAUUAAAAAACCAAUAUAAUUGCUAUGAAAUCAUCUAUCUCAAGAAGCAAUGAGGUUUGCGGACAACUUUGACUCACAAGGAGAGAAAGGAAAGCUACAACUGAUACACAGCUGAAGUAGGAGAAAAUCUGAGAAUAUUAUCGAUUAUAAUGAUUAAAUCCAUAUGGAGGAGAGAAAGCUAGAGGAGCAGACAAUUGCAGUUUACACAAAAUAUCAUCGGAAGAGAACAUGGUGAUUACACUUUUUACUAACUAUAUUUUCUUUUUUACAGGGCAAGUUACUGUACUUAUGCCCUAUACAUUGGUGGAUUUUCAGCUGGUGGAAUUAGUGCUAUGCACUCACUCCACUAAAAAGGAAGCCAAAGAUAGGCAUAAGCAUAGAAACAAUAAGGAGUACUAUGCUGCCCAAAUUUACAGUGAUAGGCGGACUAUAACAGAAGUAUAUGAUAUGAUUGGACUGGAAAAUCAAAUUGAGAUUAACAUCUCAAACUCACAGGAAAUACUCCAACAAAGAUCUAGCAUAAAACUACAUUGGGGCUCACAUAUAUCAACCCUUAAAAUAGGCAGAUUUGCAUAUGUACACAGUUGGUAUAGAACUACAGGACAUGACUUUUGGUGGAUCAUUUCAAGGUUCAAAAUGGUUUAUAUUAAACAUGUUGGUGGAAUUGGUGCAAUAUUAUAUCAAAAUCAUUGGAACAGAACAACUAAUCAUACAUGGAUAGAAUCUAAGGGUGUUUACUCAACGCAUCAUCAUGUUCACAUCCAUAUAGAGGAGAGCAUGGUGACAAAGAUUUUCACUAACACUGUGUUCUUUUUUGCAGGGAAAGAUACUGUGUCUAUGCCCUGAACUUAGAUGGAAUUACAGUUGGUGGUAUUAGUUAUAUACACUCAUUCCACGGGAAUGAAGUUAUAGUUAAGCACAAACAUAAAAGAAAGGAUGAGUACUAUGCUGCCCAGAAUUUAUAUACUAAACAAGUACUUUUGGCAAGCUAAAACAAGAGCAAAUGAGGUGUUUGGAACGGACUACCUAAUGCAAGUUAACACCUCAAAUGCACAGGAAUGAAUCAUCUAAGUUUAGGCAUCGAACAGUAAUGAGUCAUUUGUAUAGAUAUCUUCAAAAUGGACUGGGUCAAUUAUGUCUAUAGAUGAUGCAAAGAUGAAGCUAGUACUUAGAUGAGCAGUUGUUCAUUUUUGUAAAUUGGUUUAAUGUACAAGGAGACUUCAAAAACACAUACAUGGAUACAGGCAAGGUCAGGGCAGACCAGUUUUGGAAUAUUUGAAAUAACAUAAGCAACUGGAGAAACAAAAACUUAGAACACAUAGGAAAACUGCAAUCUAGACAUUGGAGCAUUGUGUUUUGGUGCUGGGAUAGUUACAGGAGAAUACUGUUUGAUUUUUAUUUCUACAAUAUCUACAGAAUGAAAAUUUCAUUGGACAAGAAAUAUAGACCAAACAAAUACUGAGAACUAUUUGGGCAAAAAAAUGGUCUAAUCUCUUUGUGGCUAGCCAUGUAAUAGGCUAGUUUUUAUACAUGUUUUACAAAUUAAGUUUCAUAUGCAUAUUUUUCAAUCAGAAAUAUAUCUAAGCGGUACUCUAUAUAUUUAUAUUCGUUAUCUAAGAACUUAACAAAGUUCAAUCUAAUAUAUGAAUAGCCGAGGGCCUGUUUUACGCCAUUUAAAGGUCAUUCUUAAAGUAACAAAGGGCGUCUAUACUUAUUAAAGGAUCCAAAAAUCUGUCCAUUCUAUAUACAUUGUUUCAUACAGGACAAGAAUCCUAUGUACAAGAACAUUAACCGUGGCAGCUAUAUGAGUUUCUUUCCCAAAAAUUGGUUUAUAACAUAGGAAAAAUUUUGAUAUAAAGAUAAGCGGCCUAAACAAACUUCCUAAAUCAGGAUUUUCUACAUUCAAAUAGAACAGCCAUAUAGCAUGACUUUUACCAAAUUAAAUUACACAUGAUCUAUUGUAAAUUAAUCGACAAGCAUCAAUCCAAAAUCUACUACAUAUCGAUUGCAAACACUGAUUUAACCGUGGAAGAAGAUGGACAGGCACUACAACAGCAGUUAACGCAAUAGCGAGUUAGGAACUGAUUUACUAUAAAUUAAUCAACCAGCAUCAGUACAAAAUCUACUGUAAAUCGUAGACGGGCCUGCCUCGCUGCGGGUCAGCAUCUCGGGCUCUCUUUCUGCUUUCUGUCUGUCUACAAGGAACUAAGUUACUGUAAAUCGAUUGGAAUAAGAGAAUUUAACACUGCCAUUAACAUACUGUAAAUCGAUUUGAACCGAUCUACUGUAAAAUCAAAGAGAUGAGAAUUUACCUGGGCCGAAGAUGGGAACUAUCAUUGAUGCACUGUAAAUCGCACAGGCAUUGUCACACUGGCGUAGACAUAACAGCGAGUUAGGGCUUUUCGGCAGCGAAGUCGAUUCAACUGGGGAGGGAAACGAUAUAAUGUUUUCGUUCUAUUAUUUUCUAAUUGGGGUGGGAAACCAUAUAAGAUAUCAAGAAAAUGGAGGGAAAGAUUUUCUCUUCUUUGUGCGG